GACCCCAUAGUUCAGUGGUCCAGAACUUCGGAUUUUCAGUCCGACAACAUCGGUUCGAAUCCGAUUGGGGUUA
rnacentral:tRNA from 1 species